UACAGAGGUCUCAAGCGUUGUUCGGAUUCAUUGGGCGUAAAGGGUGUGUAGGUGGCGCGCUAAGUCGGGUGUGAAAUUUCGGAGCUUAACUCCGAAACUGCAUUCGAUACUGGCGUGCUUGAGGACUGGAGAGGAGACUGGAAUUUAUGGUGUAGCAGUGAAAUGCGUAGAUAUCAUAAGGAAGACCAGUGGCGAAGGCGGGUCUCUGGACAGUUCCUGACACUGAGACACGAAGGCCAGGGGAGCAAACGGG
rnacentral:rRNA from 1 species